rnacentral:rRNA from 1 species
CACAAAAAUGCACAUGCUGUGAGCUCGAUGAGUAGGGCGGGACACGUGGUAUCCUGUCUGAAUAUGGGGGGACCAUCCUCCAAGGCUAAAUACUCCUGACUGACCGAUAGUGAACCAGUACCGUGAGGGAAAGGCGAAAAGAACCCCGGCGAGGGGAGUGAAAAAGAACCUGAAACCGUGUACGUACAAGCAGUGGGAGCACGCUUAGGCGUGUGACUGCGUACCUUUUGUAUAAUGGGUCAGCGACUUAUAUUCUGUAGCAAGGUUAACCGAAUAGGGGAGCCGAAGGGAAACCGAGUCUUAACUGGGCGUUAAGUUGCAGGGUAUAGACCCGAAACCCGGUGAUCUAGCCAUGGGCAGGUUGAAGGUUGGGUAACACUAACUGGAGGACCGAACCGACUAAUGUUGAAAAAUUAGCGGAUGACUUGUGGCUGGGGGUGAAAGGCCAAUCAAACCGGGAGAUAGCUGGUUCUCCCCGAAAGCUAUUUAGGUAGCGCCUCGUGAAUUCAUCUCCGGGGGUAGAGCACUGUUUCGGCAAGGGGGUCAUCCCGACUUACCAACCCGAUGCAAACUGCGAAUACCGGAGAAUGUUAUCACGGGAGACACACGGCGGGUGCUAACGUCCGUCGUGAAGAGGGAAACAACCCAGACCGCCAGCUAAGGUCCCAAAGUCAUGGUUAAGUGGGAAACGAUGUGGGAAGGCCCAGACAGCCAGGAUGUUGGCUUAGAAGCAGCCAUCAUUUAAAGAAAGCGUAAUAGCUCACUGGUCGAGUCGGCCUGCGCGGAAGAUGU